CUUUGUUAGUCAGGUAUAUAAUCUUUUUAAACUGAUGUUUUAAUGCAUGAUUGGAUUAAUUUUGCACUAUACUAUUAUAUUUUACACCUUUUCAUUGAUGAUAAAUAAAUUAAACUUUCAGGUUAAUGCAGCAUCAGAACUUUCCCCAGGAAAAUUUAUGCUGAAAGUUCGGGAAAGUGAAGAAGAAAUUGGAGAGGCAAGGAGAUAACCAGAAAACACAGAAUUUACAAGAGAAGAAUAGAAAUAAAAAGAAUAGAAAGAGGCCCCACGUACAUUGUAGUUCAAAUGUUAAAAAAGGAACAACAUAUGAUAUAGGAAUUGAAGUAAAUGCUUGCUUUAGUGCUUGUGACAUGCAGCAAAUUCCUCCUCAUAUUCUGUAUAAUUAUAGAUCACUUUUUACAUUUUGAUUUUCAAGUAAAGACAUCCUUCAAGAAAGAGUAACAUCACUCAGGAAGCAGCUGUCAGUGGAUCAAACCUAUUCCAGGGAUAUAAUAUGUGAAGAUGUGACAUUUUAAAUGAAGCGAGCAAAAUAACUGGCAUUUAUU
rnacentral:lncRNA from 1 species